rnacentral:rRNA from 1 species
AAAAGGGUUUUCCGUAGGUGACCUGCGGAAGGACAUUA